UACGAAGGGGGCUAGCGUUGCUCGGAAUCACUGGGCGUAAAGCGCACGUAGGCGGGUUCUUAAGUCAGGGGUGAAAUCCUGGAGCUCAACUCCAGAACUGCCUUUGAUACUGGGAAUCUCGAGUCCGGGAAAGGUGAGUGGAACUGCGAGUGUAGAGGUGAAAUUCGUAGAUAUUCGCAAGAACACCAGUGGCGAAGGCGGCUCACUGGCCCGGUACUGACGCUGAGGUGCGAAAGCGUGGGGAGCAAACAGG
rnacentral:rRNA from 1 species